UGAAACGUACAUAUAAUACAAAGGCCACCUCAACCUGGCAGCAUGCAAAAUAAAAUAACAAGCCAUGUGAAACUUACAGAAGACAAAAUUUAUAAAGAGGUCACCUCAAACUUACAUAAUACAAUCUUAACAAAGACGGCACCUGCAGCUUACAUUAUACAUAUGUACCAAAGAGGCCCCCUCAAACUUACAGAAAACAAUCGAAAUAAAUAAAAAGGGCACCUCAUACGUAUAUAUUACAAAAAGAGGGCACGUCAAAAAUUCCACUGUACUGGGUUUGUCCCCAAUAGUAGCCAUAGUAACAUUACAAGGCAAACCUUAUGGCUGUGGCCGAAUUUCGAGUUGCAUACCCGUCAAAUGCGGCGACCGCGACCCAUUAAGUUCA
rnacentral:lncRNA from 1 species